ACCUAUCUAGCAGUUUCAAAGUUGUGCACUUCAGGUUGAGGUCAUUAGCUGGAUUGACUCUGUGCAGGGCCAUGGGGUGCCAGUUGCAAAUGAGCAUCAAAAGAGCACUCCUCUAGAACUAGGAGGCAGGAGGAGGUGGUUAGGCGGUUGGGGGGGAAGGGGACUGGGAAGGGCUGUGUGGAGAGGGGCGCCUAGGGGAGGUGCGUGGUCGGAGGCUGCCCCACCACAAUCUCACACGCAUCAGGAAGGAGCUGGCUGCAGGAGCCUUUUUCCAGAGUCCCAGCCCACCCAGCCCUGCCCUGAACUCAGACCCGCUAGGCUCACAGGUCCCACCAGAACUAGGGGAAGCCUGAGGCUACCGAUGUCAAGUCCCAAGGUACACCCCUGAGCCCAGUCACAGUGCUUAUGCUGGGAUAGGCGGGCAGAGGAGGCGUAUGGGGACUUGGGUCCAGAGGAUGACCCAGAAAGGGUAGGAGAGUUGUGGUCACCCUCGGACUCUGGGUCCGCACGUGGAGGGUCCCAGGUUGAACUUCCGGGAGGAGACGGCAAAGCCACAGAGGCCACACUGCUCACACAAACAAUCCCCCACUCCCCUCUGCCCUUUCUCCAGGUGGGACGCCCCUCCUGUGCUGCCCUCAGAAGGGCUCUCCAGGGACCACACCCCUAGUUUGUGGAGCAGCAGAGCCUGCCCCAGUCUGGACUAGGGACUUUAUUUCCUCCACUCUCACCACUGGCUGAAGGCAGACUCCUGUCUCCACAGACUAAAGAGGAAUUAUCAAAAUGAGCUCCAAACUCUAGAUUUGAGUUAAGGAUCAUAAAUUAACACAGAGAAAUACAACUUUAACAACAAAGACCUGUUUGGAGCCCCAGUUGCAAUUUAAAAAAAAAAAACUUGAACAACGGGAGUGAUAGGGGCUUCCUUCUUUUGCCACCCUCUCUCGGUGGUCCCAAGCUUUCUCAUCUCCCACCUCACAAGACUGUAUUAACUGCUUUGAGACUUUUAGAAUAAAGAUCCUCAGGCAUAUCACUGCUGUCACCCUGUGAGGAUUUCCCGAGUGCUGGGUUAGACUAAGACAGAAUCCUCCAGAGGUUUCCGGGGUCUGUGUACUGGACGGUCAACAUGCUGAGCUUCAGAGCCCACUUCAUUUUUCCUGCAAUUGGGCAUGACCCCAGGGACAUGACCCUGAGAGUGCUGACACUUCCUGAAGCCAGUGACCCUCCCCCGGGCUUCUCUCUGCCUGGGUCUCAGAAUCUGUCAGGCCAACUUGUACCCUCAGAAGUGUUUCUGCCGAAGGACACCUAAACAGCACUGCGGAUUUGUGUCCCGCAGUCUGCAAAACUGCCUCCCCUGAGUGGGGUGAGGAGCUACUGAAAUACUGAAAUCAUUGAAACUAGCAGAAGCCACAGCCCAUGGUGCUGGGAGAAAACUGGGAAGGACGGAGAGGUGAAGAGGCUAUAAAGGCUCAGUUGUGAAGGUGAUCAUGGGCCAGGAUGUCCUGAAGUUGCAAAGCUGACCAACGCUGAGUGCCCUAAAACCUGCCACUCCUGUGCCCAUCUCUUCUUUCAAUGGACAAAGUCUUCCCCUGCUCUUAUGUGCCUGGGCUGGAAGGGCCUUUGACUUAUAACAUGAAGCAGCCUCCAGAGCCUCUUGGGGCAAGUGAUGGUCAAGGAGGCUCUGCCUAACCCCACCCUGCCCUUCCCAGUUGUCAGAGGACCAGGAAUUUCAGUCUUCCAGCUCCUGGGCUGAUCUAGUGACUUGUAACAGGAUUUCUCUGGAACUGGAAGGUGUUGAAGACAGGAAAUACUCCUGGGUUUCUUCACCCGCUGAAUGCCUAGUUCCUGGUCUUAUUACAAGGCUUACAUUCAGGAUAAGAAGAGGCGUUUGGGGCUUGACACAUGACCUCUUAGCAGCAGUUUCUGUUCAGGAACGAAGAGGUAAAAAGAAGCAGUGUCUACUAAGUCCUUUUCCAAGAGUCUCAGGAAAUUCUCACGAAGACCCUCUCAGGCGGGACGCCCCUCCUGUGCUGUCCUCAGAAGGGCUCUUCAGGGACCACACCCCUAGUUUGCGGAGCAGCAGAGCCUGCCCCAGUCUGGACUAGGGACUUUAUUUCUUCCACUCUCACCACUGGCUGACGGCAGACUCCUGUCUCCACAGACUAAAGAGGAAUUAUCAAAAUGAGCUCGAAACUCUAGAUUUGAGUUAAGGAUCAUAAAUUAACACAGAGAAAUACAACUUUAACAACAAAGACCUGUUUGGAGCCCCAGUUGGAAUUAAAAAAAAAAAAACUUGAACAGAGGGAGUGAUAAAGGCUUCCUUCUUUUGCCAUCCUCUCUCGGUGGUCCCAAGCUUUCUCAUCUCCCACCUCACAAGACUGUAUCAACUGCUUUGAGACUUUUAGAAUAAAGAUCCCCAGGCGUAUCACUGCUGUUACCCUGUGAGGAUUUCCCCAGUGCUGGGUUAGACUAAGACAGAAUCCUUCCAAGGCUUCCAGGGCCAGUGUACUGGACGGUCAACACACAGAGCCUCAGAGCCCACUUCAUUUUUCCUGCAGUUGGGCAUGACCCCAGGGACAUGACCCUGAGAGUGCUGACACUUCCUGAAGCCAGUGACCCUCCCCCUGGGCUUCUCUCUGCCUGGGUCUCAGAAUCUCUGAGGCCAACUUGUACCCUCGGAAGUGUUUCUGCUGAAGGACACGUAAACAGCACUGUGGAUUUGUGUCCUGCAGUCUGCAAAACUGCCUCCCCUGAGUGGGGUGAGGAGCUACUGAAAUACUGAAAUCAUUGAAACUAGCAGAAGCCACAGCUCAUGGUGCUGGGAGAAAACUGGGAAGGACGGAGAGGUGAAGAGGCUAUAAAGGCCCAGGUGUGAAGGCGACCAUGGGCCAGGAUGUCCUGAAGUCGCAAAGCUGACCAAUGCUGAGUGCCCUAAAACCUGCCACUCCUGUGCCCAUCUCUUCUUUCAAUGGACAAAGUCUUCCCCUGCUCUUAUGUGCCUGGGCUGGAAGGGCCUUUGACUUAGAACAUGAAGCAGCCUCCAGAGCCUCUUGGGGCAAGUGAUGGUCAAGGAGGCUCUGCCUAACCCCACCCUGCCCUUCCCAGUUGUCAGAGGACCAGGAAUUUCAGUCUUCCAGCUCCUGGGCUGAUCUAGUGACUCGUAACAGGAUUUCACUGGAACUGGAAGGUGUUGAAGACAGGAAGUACUCCUGGGUUUCUUCACCCAGCUGAAUGCCUAGUUCCUGGUCUUAUUACACGGCUUACAUUCAGGAUAAGAAGAGGCGUUUGGAGCUUUACGCAUGACCUCUUAGCAGCGGUUUCUGUUCAGGAGUGAAGAGGUAAAAAGAAAGCAGUGUCUACUAAGUCCUUUUCCAAGAGUCUCAGGAAAUUCUCACGAAGACCCUCUCAGCUGGCUGCAUGUGACCACCAGGCUUCCUGACUCCAUCAUUCUGCUUUCCAUACCAGUGUUAUUGUAACCUUGGGAUCUUGGGCAGUGGUGAAAGUUACACACUGUCCCUGCCAUUAGGAAGGGGACAAGCCAGUGCGGGUGGGAGGGGCAGUGGGGAAAUUCGGCCUAGAGAAAGGACAGGCCACCUUCCAGGAACCGCACUGGCCUUCAGAGAGCUUUGUUGGCUGUGGUUCACCUGGCCAGCUUGUAGGCGUCAGGGUGCCCUAGGGCUCGGUGCUUAGUUCUCUCUAUUGACACCCUCUGUCUAGGAUGACUCAGUGAGUCCACUGCUGUCUAUCUGUAGCUAAAGAUGCCAGCUUUGUAGCUCUAGUCAAAUUCCUCCUGGGUGCAGACUCGUAUAUUCAAAUGUCAGCCUAACUCUCUGUAUCGACCUCUUUUGUAAAAUGGGCAUUAUAAUGGCACAUUCCUCAUAGGACUAUCAUGCAGAGCAAAACUCUUAAGGAGAAGCUUUUACAAGAGCCCCUGACACCAGUGCAUGUGCUCAGUAAGUGUUAGCUGUUAGUAUUAUUACCUGACAUCUCCACGUGGACGUCUGACAGCUAUGCCAUGUUAUCAAGGCCAUGAAGUAAGUCUUGGUCCCAAACCCAUUCCACCCGCAUCAAUUUCUCAAUGCUACAGUGAUGGGAGUCUGUGUGUUUUUCCACAUAAUGGACAUGGUUAAAAAGGUUGACCAGGUCCUUCAUAAUAAGUUGCUCCAAAGUUCAUAUGGGUGACCAUUGAUACAAGUUACAGUCAACUAAUAUAGAAAAAAAACAGAACCACUCUCAGCAGCUCAUGCUUGGACUCUCAGUCCAGAAUAUCUGGUGAGGGCACUAUUAUGGACUGAAUUGUAUAACCCCAAAAGGUAUGUUGAAAUCCUAACCACUGUACCUGUAAAUGUGACCUAAUUUAGAAAUAGGGGAUUUUUAAAAUUAUGUUAAUAAGGCCAUACCAGUGUAGGGUGGGUCCUAGACCUAGUCCCUUCUGAGUUAUAAAAACAGCAGAAUAGACACAGACAGGAGCAGAUGCAUCUACAAGGCCAGGAACACAAAGGGUGGCUGGAAGCUGCUAGAAGCUGAAGUAGACAUGAGCCAUGCCCUGAAUUCAGACUUCGAGCCUCUCCUGAACUGUAAGAAAAUAAAUUUCUGUUCUUUAAAGCCACUCAGUUGUGUUAUUUUUUUCUUAUGGCGGCACUAGGUAACUAACACACAUAUCUGUGCUUAUAAAUCCAGCCUAGGGUAAAAUAGUGCUCUCCCUUCCUUGUCUAGCCCACCUGGAUCCUGCUGUUUCCCUAUCAGUGUCCUCUGCUUUCACUAAGCUACAAAAGAGCCGGCUUGAUGCUGAUGCAUAGAAAUUCACUCUAUUUUUUACUUUGUAUUUAUGAUUAGUAUUAAUUCUAAUGUUUUCUAUGGCUUUUAAAAAUUUCCUGUGAAGACAUUCGUAUAAUCUAUGAAUAAUAACAGUUAUACUUUUUCUUGUCAUUUCGUUCUAGCUUCGACCUCCAUUGUUAAAUAUUUCAUAGAAAUAAUAAGAGAAAGCAUCCUUGUUUUAUUGCUAAUUAAUUUUAAAGAGAAUGUCCCACAUUUCGCCAUGAACUAUCAUGCUAGUUGUAGUUUUCCAAGUUUGGGAACUCCUUUUUUUGUUCCUAGUUUGCUCAGAGUUCUUAUGUCUCAGUGUGAUUGGAUUUUAUCACUACUUUUCGCCAUCUCUUUAUGUGAGCCUUGUCUUUUCUUCCUUAACCUACACAUGUGGUGAAUUAAGUUAUUAAAUGUUUAAUGUUCACUCGAUUGCAUGCUGACAAUAAACCCCCUUGAUCGUGGCGUAUUACAUGGUUUACACUUG